CUGCCCACAGCAUCAACACCUGCAGGACAAGGAAAAUAACACUGAACUAAGGGAGGCAUCUUAGCUGGAUGGAAUUCAGCCAGUAAGAUUGCUGAAGUAUAUGAUACAGAUCCAAAUGACUGAUGAAUCAUAGUGCUGAGUGAAACGUUCCAUGUGUAUUUAAUAGUCUAUAGGAAAUAGAGGACAGAGGUGCAUCUUUUCAGCACCUUAUCGGCCAAGAACUUGGAAUGCUGCAGGUUUCAUUUUGCUUUGUGCUCUUCAGACUGGUCUGCGCUCACAAGUCACUGCGUUGUCUUUGCCACUGUGAUG